CAGAAUAAACGGUUAGGAAGUGAAAGUGAAAGUCAGUCUCCAUUUUGUGUGGAGGGGACAAUACAGCAUUUCAGGAGUAAAAACACAGGUUUGAUUUAACACACCGAUGUUGGAGUGAAGUAAACGUGUGUCCUGCUGUAAUCUGGAGAAGGAGACAUGACCUCCAACAUGAGUGUGUCUGGAGAACAGGACUUAAAGAGAGACGAGAGAAUGAUGGAGGGAAAGAGAUCAGACUCACCAGAACCCAGCUGUGUGUCCAUGAAGAGUGACGCGUCAAUGGAUCAUCCAUUUCACUUCAGAGACGGAGCCAGUUCUCCUGAUGUGAGACCACAACAGAAGAAAUCAAACCUCAGCAGAAAUCAGCUGGACUCCAUAUUCAAGGAGCUGGAACACAAAGUCAUCACCCUGAUAAAGAAUGAGCUGAAGAGGUUUAGGAAGCGCCUGAGUCCAGAUUACCCAGCAUGCACUGAGAGGGAGGUGCAGGAUGAGGAGGAUCUGCACAGUGUCAGAGACGGAGCGCUGAAGAUCACACUGCAUGUCCUGAAGAACAUGAACCACACAGAUCUCGCUAACACACUGCAGAACAAGUCUGUGGCCUCUGUGUAUCAGACAAAGCUGAAAUCCAGCCUGAGAGAGAAGUUUAAAAGAAUUAAUGAAGGAAUCUCACAGCAUGGAAGCUCAGCACUUCUGAAUGAGAUCUACACAGAGCUCUACAUCACAGAGGGUUGGAGUGGAGACGUCAAUAAUGAACAUGAGGUGAGACAGAUUGAGACAGCGUCCAGGAGACCAGCAGCACAGGAGACACCCAUCAAAUGUAAUGAUCUCUUUAAAGACAAGUCCAUCAGAAGUGUGCUGACUAAAGGAGUUGCUGGAAUUGGAAAAACAGUCUCUGUGCAGAAGUUCAUUCUGGACUGGACUGAAGGAAAAGCAAAUCAGGACGUCACCUUCAUGUUUCCACUUCCCUUUAGAGAGCUGAAUCUGAUGAAGCAGGAACAUCUCAGUCUGAUGGAUCUUCUUCAUCACUUUUUCCCUGAAAUGAGAAAACUACAAUUAAUAGACUCCUACAAAGUGGUGUUGAUCUUUGAUGGUCUGGAUGAGUGUCGACUUCCUCUAAAUUUCCAGAAGAAUGAGAGACUGUGUGAUGUGACAGAGUCAGCCUCAGUGGAUGUGCUGCUGACGAACCUCAUCAAGGGGAAUCUGCUUCCCUCUGCUCUCCUCUGGAUCACCUCUCGACCAGGAGCAGCCAAUCAGAUCCCUCCUGAGUGUGUAGACCAGGUAACAGAGGUACGAGGGUUCAGUGAUCCUCAGAAAGAGGAGUACUUCAGGAAGAGGAUCAGUGAUCGGAGCCUGGCCGAUAAAAUCAUCUCACACAUGAAGUCUUCAAGAAGCCUCUACAUCAUGUGCCACAUCCCAGUCUUCUGCUGGAUCUCAGCCACUGUUCUAGAGAGAAUGUUGCGUGAAGCAGAGAGUGGACAGAUCCCCAAGACUCUGACUCAAAUGUUCACACACUUCCUGAUCUUUCAGAUCAAACACAAGGACCAAAAGUACCAUCAGAAAUGUGACCCUGAUCCUCAGCAGACCAGAGAGAGUAUCCUGGCACUGGGAAAACUGGCUUUCCAACAGCUGGAGAAAGGAAACCUGAUCUUCUAUGAGGAAGACCUGAGAGAGUGUGGCAUUGAUGUGAGAGAAGUGUCGGUGUACUCAGGAGUGUGUACCCAAAUCUUCAGAGAGGAGUUUGGGCUUCACCUGGGGAAGGUGUUCAGCUUUGUACAUCUGAGUGUUCAGGAGUUUCUGGCUGCUUUAUAUGCAUUUUUCUGCUUUAUUUUUAGAAAGACAAAUGUGUUAGUGGAGCAAAGCACUGGACGUUCUAAUUUCUUCAGAAAGUCAGACAUGUCUGAUCUCCUCAGGAGUGCAGUGGACAAGGCCUUACAGAGUGAGAAUGGACACCUGGACCUGUUCCUCCGCUUCCUUCUGGGUCUCUCACUGGAGUCCAAUCAGACUCUCUUACGAGGCUUAAUGCCACAGACAGGAAGCAGCUCUCACAGCAAACGGGAAACAGUCGAGUACAUCAAGGAGAAGAUCAGGGAGAAUCCAUCUCCAGAGAAAUCCAUCAAUCUGUUCCACUGUCUGAAUGAACUGAAUGAUCAUUCUCUAGUGCAGGAAGUACAGACUUACCUGAACAGAGGAGGUGACCGUCGUCUCAGUGGAACCAGACUCUCUCCUGCUCAGUGGUCAGCUCUGGUGUUUGUGUUACUGAACUCAGAUCAGGAGCUGGAUGUGUUUGAUUUGAGGAAAUAUGACCAAUCAGAGGAAUGUCUUCUGAAGCUGCUGCCAGUGGUCAAAGACUCCAGAAGAGCUGAGCUGUGUGGGUGUAAACUGACAGAGGAAAGCUGUAGAGUUCUGUCCUCAGUUCUCAGAUCAAACUCCUCCAGACUGAGAGAACUGAACCUGAGUGGAAAUAACCUGCAGGAUUCAGGAGUGAAGCUGCUCUCUGCUGGACUGGAGAAUCCACACUGUACACUGGAGAUACUGAGUCUGUGGGGGUGUGAUCUGACAGAGGAAAGCUGUAGAGUUCUGUCCUCAGUUCUCAGAUCAAACUCCUCCAGACUGAGAGAACUGGACCUGAGUGACAAUAACCUGCAGGAUUCAGGAGUGAAGCUGCUCUCUGCUGGACUGGAGAAUCCACACUGUACACUGGAGAUACUGAGUGUCCAAAGCCCGUGGUGGUGGCAGUGCAUGGCGUGUGUGGGAGCAGGUCUGUUGGGAGUGUUAAGUACCAUCUCAUACACUCAGCAAACAAUAUGGAUGGAACUUUCCAGAGUUGUGGUGUCACUUUCCUGCAAAGCUUUAACCAUCAGAGAGUUAUCUUUUACUGGGGCUUUUAGCUGCAGGAGACUGAAUUACUAACAGUUUUUUUUUGUGGAUCUGAUUUCUUCCUUCGCAGGAGUGGAUCUAAUCACAGCCUGUGAUAUUCGUCUGUGCACACAGGGUGCCUGGUUUCAGGUGAAGUCGUGUGUUCCCUGAUGGUCAAUGAUUGCUGGAGCUCUGGAAAUAGCAGGUGAGAUUGCAGGCCGGAGUCGCGUCGCUGUCCAGGGAACCAAAUCAACCUCCUCUACUCCUGAGACCACAGUGUAACUGAGAGCCUAGACUACAUGGCUACUUGGAACAUGAACAUGUUGCAGACACAGGAUCUUAUGAAGUCAGCGCAGACAGCCCUGGAAAAGAAGAGUCCGAAAGACGUGCCCUUCUCCAAGCUUUAAAGGAGAAGAUCCAGGGCUGUUGAAGCUGCCUGUUGAAUCAGCGGUGGAACUGAGACUUCAUCAUCCACAUAUCUUUAGUUCUUCUUGCUAAGUCUGAGUUUCUUUUUAGUCUUUUUAUUUUUAGACUGGUCAAAAGACUGAUUAGUGGAAGUGAAAUGAUAGAUGAACUUUUAAUUACUUGCUUUAUUAUUUGCAGGUGCCUUGUACAGUAAGACAGGGUAACUAAUACUCAAAAGCUUGUUUUGUGUGUUAACAUGUACAGUAGAUGUACAUAUUUUUUCUGGUGCUGUGUGACUGCAGAAUGUAGUGCAGUUAACACAUUAAAUUUCCUUGGAUGCUCACUUUUAACUCGAGGAGGUCACAGUUUGCCCAGACAUCUUUUUUUAAAUCCGUCAAUCCGUCACCCACACGUCAUUCUGGGGGACGAAGAGGAGGAAGCUGGACAGAUAAAUUUAUUUAUUUAUUUAUCAUUGCUGUGUUUCCUCAAUCGAGUGCAGAAAGAAGAAAAACAACACAACUGAUUUAAAAUAAAAAUAUAGAAAACAAUCUAAUGUAAGGUUCUGAUCCGUUUUGCUUUCAGCAGGAAGGCUGUCCUCUUUCCUGUUGCUCUUUCCCUUCUAUUAGUCCAUUUGUCCAGUCUGAAUCGGUUUGAUUCGUUUUGAGACGAUUCGGAGUCAAAUAAUUUUCUAGUGAGAGUCGCACACUUCCAAACGAACUAGACUGAGAUGAGUAUUUGAUUCUCACUAGAAAGUGAUUCGACUCUGAAUCAACUCGAAAUGAAUCAGUCAAACUGAUUCAGACUCUAUAAAAGGACUAUGAGAUGUGAUUAAGAUAUAUAUUCCAAUGUUUUGCUUUACAAUUCCACUGUGUGUGUGUGUGUGCGCGCGCGCGCGCGUGUGUUUUUCAGGAGAACGAGAAACUCUGACACAAGAGUACAUCCUGACCAUUGGUACUGUGUACACAUCAACAUACACACACGUCUCCAUGCUGGACAUCUCAGGAGCUUUCACACACAGUGCUAGGAAUAUCCCGGGACAGAGAAAUGCACCUUCUAAGUGAGCGAGUUUAGCGUCAACCGGUGAAAUUUGCUGUAGCGUGAACACUUCGCCUCUGUGAGCUUCACUCUCCGUCAGGUUCACUGUAAUUAGACAUAAAAUGUACAUAAAGUUUAUUUUUCAUACAGUUAGGAGUUAAUGUUUUUUUUUUUUUUUUUACUCUUCGAGGAACAGAAAUGAUCUUUCGAGGCAGCUUCUUCAUCACUACCUGCUCCGUUUGACUCAAAAAUGUAACGACCGUUUUCAAAAAGUCACGAUGUCUUCAGUUCAUGUGAUUUUACUGUUGAAUUUAAACAGGAAAUGUGAAAUAUUUUUGUUCCUUUGUUUCCUCUACUGUCUUUUUGCUGUGAUCUUGAACACAGUUGUAAUUUUUUUUUUAAUAAUAAAUAAUUGAUCAUUCUAGUUCUCUCACUUUCCUUGUCCUAAUUGUCCUGUAUCUGUUAAAUCCGUUUCAUCUCUGGUCUUUCUGUCUGUAUGAACACUUGUAGAAAUGACAUGAUGUCCAUAUUUUUAAAUGAUUCAUGAUUUUGAAUUUAAAUAAAGAUAUUCUUUAAUUCUGUAUUUUGUCAUUUAAUUAUCAUUAGAAAUCAGAAGAUCAGAUUAAAGCCACGGCUUCUUUACCUGCCGAAGCUGUAAAACUUUCAAUAAACCAGUCAAUAGAUCAGCUGAAUAAAUGUAGAUUUUUAAUUUACUGAUUAGAUGUAUUGAUGG